rnacentral:rRNA from 1 species
UCAGACGAUGCGUCAUGCAUAUCAAUAAGCGGAGGAAAAGAAACUAACUAAGGAUUCCCUCAGUAACGGCGAGUGAAGCGGGAAGAGCUCAAAUUUGAAAUCUUCAAGGGUUCUACCUUUACGAAUUGUAGUUUAAAGAAGUGUUUUCUGUUAGAGUUUCGGUAAAAGUUCUUUGGAAUAGGACAUCAUAGAGGGUGAGAAUCCCGUAUUUGACCAUUAUUUCCAGCUUUGUGAUACACUUUCAAAGAGUCGGAUUGUUUGGGAAUGCAGUCCAAAAUGGGUGGUAAAUUUCAUCUAAAGCUAAAUAUUGGCGAGAGACCGAUAGCGAACAAGUACCGUGAGGGAAAGAUGAAAAGAACUUUGAAAAGAGAGUUAAACAGUACGUGAAAUAGUCAAAAGGGAAGCGUUUGACACCAGUGUUGUUUUCUCGAAAAUCAAUUAAAAAAGGCAGGAUUUUGUGUUGUAUUGACUUUAUCAGCUUUCUGCACUCUUUUCUUGUCUUUUUUUAAUGCACUUUUCGUUUAACAAGUCAACAUCAAUUUCUUUUGUUGUAAAAGGGUCAUUGGAAGGUGGCUUUCUUUUCGGAGAAAGUGUUUAUAGCCUUUGGCCUCUGCAAUCGGAGAGAUUGAGGUCUGCAGCGUAGAUACCUUCGGGGUUAGAUACAUUUGUGCUAAGUUAUAGCCUUUCAUAGACAACUUGUUGACUAUGAUCAGUCAUGUAGCUUACUCGCUUAUGCUAUUUUACCUACGCUUAGGAUGUUGAUCUACAGAGCGAGAG